rnacentral:rRNA from 1 species
ACGGUAGCACAGAGAGCUUGCUCUCGGGUGACGAGUGGCGGACGGGUGAGUAAUGUCUGGGAAACUGCCUGAUGGAGGGGGAUAACUACUGGAAACGGUAGCUAAUACCGCAUAACGUCGCAAGACCAAAGAGGGGGACCUUCGGGCCUCUUGCCAUCAGAUGUGCCCAGAUGGGAUUAGCUAGUAGGUGGGGUAACGGCUCACCUAGGCGACGAUCCCUAGCUGGUCUGAGAGGAUGACCAGCCACACUGGAACUGAGACACGGUCCAGACUCCUACGGGAGGCAGCAGUGGGGAAUAUUGCACAAUGGGCGCAAGCCUGAUGCAGCCAUGCCGCGUGUAUGAAGAAGGCCUUCGGGUUGUAAAGUACUUUCAGCGGGGAGGAAGGUGUUGUGGUUAAUAACCGCAGCAAUUGACGUUACCCGCAGAAGAAGCACCGGCUAACUCCGUGCCAGCAGCCGCGGUAAUACGGAGGGUGCAAGCGUUAAUCGGAAUUACUGGGCGUAAAGCGCACGCAGGCGGUCUGUCAAGUCGGAUGUGAAAUCCCCGGGCUCAACCUGGGAACUGCAUUCGAAACUGGCACGCUAGAGUCUUGUAGAGGGGGGUAGAAUUCCAGGUGUAGCGGUGAAAUGCGUAGAGAUCUGGAGGAAUACCGGUGGCGAAAGGCGGCCCCCUGGACAAAGACUGACGCUCAGUGCGAAAGCGUGGGGAGCAACAGGAUUAGAUACCCUGGUAGUCCACGCCGUAAACGAUGUCGACUUGGAAGUUGUGCCCUUGAAGGCGUUGCUUCC